rnacentral:rRNA from 1 species
GCCCGUGAUCAUACUACGCUGAAAGCACCGCAUACCGUCAGAUCUGCGCAGUUAAACAGCCUCAGGCCGCAUCAGUACCUCGCAUGCAGACAACAAGCGAACGUUCGCUGUCGUAGGCA